rnacentral:lncRNA from 1 species
ACCUUCGUAGUGGCAGCGUUUAUGACCACCCAAGGCUUGGCCUGUAGGGAAACUCUUGUGGCAGAUGGAACACUCGUGAAGCCUACCGCUGCUGGUGGCGGUGGUGGCGGUGCUGGUUGUUGAUGGGUUAUCGACGUUGGCGGCGGCGGUGGUGGUAGCGGCGUCGGCGGAAAGGGGUUUGCGGUGGCUGGCUUUAUGACCGCCCAAAGCUUGAUAAGAAGGGAACGCCUUGUCACAAACACUACACUUGUAAGACAACUUCAAAGCAGGCGGCGGCGGAGGCGGUGACAACGAAGGGGAAGACCGACGAAUAACAUCACGAUCAGCACCGGAAGAGCCGCGAGCGAGCAUGAUGAGACAAAGAGCGAGGUACUCUUCUUCGGUGGUGGGUUGAAGUUCAACAGCAGCAGGAGAGUCGCCACGUUGUCGC